rnacentral:lncRNA from 1 species
GAGGCACAGAGAGGUGAAAUAAGGCCCCCAGAAUGCUCUUCUCCAAGACUUAGAAAAAUCAAAUGCUAUCCAUCCCUCAAGAUACAUCCCUCCAGCCCCUCCUUGAAGUCUCCUGCAGCUAGAAGUAGAAUGAGAUGCUACCUACCUAUGCAGAGCUGGAAAAGAUUUUGCAACCUGAAAACCCAAUCCUUUCUGAGAUAUAAAAGAACAGAAGAGUCUGGAAGUGAUUUCUUUGGAGAAAUUCAUUUUCUUAUUCCAGAGAAGAAACUUCAAGCUCAGAAUAUUGGCUACUACCUGUGAUAAACAUUUAAAUUAUUGGAACGAGAGAGUUUUUAUAACUAAAUUUGAAAGAAGCAAUUUUUUUUAAUCAAAGACCAACCCGAAGAUUCAUGACCACUACCUGUGAUUUCAUCCAUGUUGCAAGGAAAAUCCUGCCCCACUUCCCCAAUAGGAAGAGUGGUGGGGGAAUAAUAAAGUUGUUUUAUGAUGCAUCCUAUGGACCUCUACUCGACAGAAUGGUAACAUUCAACUGUAAUCAGGAUGAGCAAG